CACUCAGCCCAUCAGCCGCAAGUCGUCAAGCCAACGCCGGGGGAGGGGAGGCUGGACCGCUGGAGCCCCCGCCGCCGUUGGGCGUCGCCGACCUAUCCAACCCACGGCGACCCCCCGAGACGCCGCUUGCUGCACGGUCAGUCCGCCCGCCCGCUCACCCCACAUCAGGACCUGCGACCCUAAUAGCCGACUCUUCUGUCAGGCGCCAUUCCAUUGUCCCGGUCUACGGCGUCCACUCCACCCAGUUUCCAAAUGGCUAGUGAGGACUCGAAAGAUAUGCUGAAGAAUGUGGACUGGAAGACAGUGGGCGGUGCAGUUACCACUGAAUCUAGCCAGCCGGUCAUCAAAAAGCGCCUUCCAAAGAAGAUCAGGCAAGUCCCUGAGUGUUAUUUUCUACCUCGGCGAUCUUUGCCUUCUGCAUUGGCAAUCUACGGUGCCGUGUGCGCUGCUGGUGUUGGUGCAGGAAUGCUACUUGAGGUGUGGAUAAACAAAAAGAUCAAAGAGGAUGGUGGCAUUAUCUGGGAGAUGGAUAAAUGAUGUGCACCACUCUUUGAUAUGGUUGAACUAGUUUUGGCACUAUGAUGACUCCCUCCUUGUCCUUGGAAUGGCAACAUAAAGCCUACCUGUUGCAAGACGGCAAGACCCUUUGAUUGGUGUUUUCACACAUUGCAUCUACUGUAUGGACCUUUGCAUUCACACAGCUGGAAGGUGAAUAUCCACUGGUACCAGUAACUUGUAUGGACGUGUUUGUUGUAAAGGACGACCUCGCAACUUUUUCUCGAUUGGUGCAAUAUCUCACUCUUCCUCCA